UACGUAGGGGGCAAGCGUUGUCCGGAAUCAUUGGGCGUAAAGAGCGUGUAGGCGGUCCGGUAAGUCGGCUGUGAAAACCCGGGGCUCAACUCCGGGCCUGCAGCCGAUACGGGCAGACUAGAGUUCGGCAGGGGAGACUGGAAUUCCUGGUGUAGCGGUGAAAUGCGCAGAUAUCAGGAGGAACACCGGUGGCGAAGGCGGGUCUCUGGGCCGAUACUGACGCUGAGGAGCGAAAGCGUGGGGAGCGAACAGG
rnacentral:rRNA from 1 species